AACACAUAUAUACUUAUUAAGAGAUACUCACUUAGCAUCAAUUACUUCAAGCAAUUUGCUCUGGUAUUUGUUACCCAAAACCUGAUGAAAAGUAUAUACCAUAAAGUUGUGUUAGCAACAUUAUGUAUUGAGAACUGAAUUCGGUUGAUUCAUACUUACAUGGAUUUUUGCAGUGGUCUUCGGGUCGAGGAAAGAUUUAACCGUGCCCCAUAAGAGCCUAAAUCCCGAGCCGGCAUUGAUGAUAAACAUCCGGUUCAGAGUCUGCAAAAACAUUGUCGUUGAAGGAGAUCCCGUGCAGCCUUGUUGAAGCUUUUAAGCCCCUGCAAAGUUUGUUUACGGCGUAUUAGAACACUGCAAAAGAAGCAGGAUUCGAAAAAACCGAGCAACAAAAUCUUACGUACCACUCCUUCAACAUCCAAUAUGGUUGUGCUUUGAUCAAUGUGUUUUUUGGCUACAAUUGAUGCAGCAGGGAAUUUAAUGGCAAAGGUCGUCCGUCUUUAUCGACUCCAUGAUAUCCUUGUGGAUAGCACUUAACCACCUCAUCAUAUUCCUUGAAUUCAAAUUCCUUUACAAAGAAGAAACAUAAGAUUAGACAUUUGCAUCAAUAGCUUGUGCAACAAGAAAGC